CCGGCCUCACAUGGCCGGGCCGGGGCCAGCAGCACCGCGCCCCCCCGACUCCCCCGGUGCCGCCGGUGUCGCUGCCCCCCGCUGCCCGGGCCGAGGCGUCGCUGCCUGCCCCGGGCCCGCAGGCAGCCAGCGUUUUAAGGAAAGCACCGGGUACUAGAAGAGUUGUCAUCGGAGCGUGGGGCAGGGUUCGGACCUCAGAGAUCCCGACAUCGUGUCCUGGAUCGUCAAAUAAAGGACACUCUGGAGCAAAAGAGAAGGAGGAGCCUGACCGAAUAAGUGGAGAAACCCUGUAGCCCACACCUGGGCAUUCCUCAACUCUCCAUUCCCUGUGUGGGAUCUCCCAGGCAGGAAAACUGCCCCCACAAGUGGCAUGCUCAAAGCUCUACUCAGCCAGCGACAAAAUUGUACUUGUGCCUGCUACUGCUUUCUGAUUCAGCUAAUGCUUUUCUUCACUUGUAUGGAUGAAUAAUUUUAUCAUAGCAGAACAGCUUCUGCAGUUGAUGCACCUAUUCCAUACCACUGCAUCUGAAGUCAGCUGGGAGGAAAUGGAUGCUUCAAAUUCCCAGAAGCCAAGAGACUGGGGAAAUCAGCUCUGCAUCAGGUGUCUCAUGGGUUGGUGCGCAAAACUCUGGGCCAUUACAUAAACAGGUGAUGCUUCUUCCCACUGCAUUUAUAAGCUCCUAGCAGCUGGCAGCUGGAAUUGGGGAUGCUGAGUGGGAAAUGGCACCUCUGUCUUCUAGAAAAGGAUGAUGUAUUGUUUAAGAAGGGCUUAACCUUUACCCUUCUCCUUGGCACCUCCAGCAGCUCCAGAGGCACUUUUCUUAUUUGCUUUUGUGAAUCAUAUCCUGAGGUACCUUGCUUUCCCCGCCCAUUGCACUGGGAAUUUGAGUGCCUAAGUUUUCUUCAUGGAUUACCUAGUGGAGAGAAGUGCCUAAAAGUCAUAACAUGCAGCUCUCAGUAUCACAGUAUCUAUGUCCUUCUGUGGGCCAGCUUUCCUUCCCUAACUCCAUGGGAACUGGGCUCCUAACUUCCCUGUGGACCCAUGAAAAUUCCUGAAAUGCCAUUAAGGUACAUCUUCCCUUAGUGGCAUGGAGGAAAGGUCAGUGGACGAUAGGUAUGCUGCAUACUCACAGAAUCGCUGGGUUUGGAAGACACCUCUGGAGAUCAUCUACCCCACUCAGAGCAGGGUCAACUGGAACAGGCUGCUGUGCUACAGUAGCCACAACUGUGUCCAGUAGGGUUUUAAAUAUCUCCAAGGGUGGAGACUCCACAACUUCUCUGGGCAGCCUGUGCCAGUUUAACCACUUGCAUGGUAAAAGAAAAGGGUUUUGUUUGUUUAGAACAUCUGCACAUCUGGAACACCACACAGUGCGAGCAGGAGAGGUCCUGUCCCAUGUUGGGAGUAAUCCUUCAUCUGUAGGAGGAUGAGCUACAGUGAGUCAACGUUUUUGGCAAGUAGAGCCACAGCUGAUGAGCUCUGUGGUGAAAGUUGAGAGCCAGCAUUAGUGGGAAACAGGACAGAGUAUAAAAGAGAAAUGUGCCAGGGAGAUUGAGAAGCAUCAUCUCCCAUUUCAGUCCUCCAAAUGCUGGACUGCACCACCUGAGUACCCAACACAUUCGUUUUACUCCAGGAAAAAAAAAAGUGCCACAUUUCCUCCUGCUCCUUAUUCAUUGUUUGCCGUCAGUGGUUAGCAGAGUCCUAGCAUCCAUCCAGUGCAGUUUAUUUCCAUAGACCCCUCUCCAGCACACUGUGAGAAAUGCAGUCUUCCAGACCUCAGCUCAGCUUUGGUGCCACAGGUCCCAUGCUCUUACUGUUUUUGUAGGUGCUAGCACAUUACUGAGCUAGAGCAAAUGCUGGAGUAAAAGGGAAGAAAAUGUUCAGAUUUGCAGAGUUCAUUCAGCUUUUUUUAUCUUGAAUACAGCAUUAGUUAUAUUGACAGGGAUUAUAUCUAGAUUUCUAUAGCUAUUCUUUUGGAUUUACUCAGAGGGCAGAAAGGAUGCAAUGGAAUAUUAAGCUGUUUCUGUAUGUAAAUCAUCUCUCAGAAAUACAGGUUUGAGCCUCCCCAGUUCAGUUUCAGGUGUGUAUCAUACUCUGAUUUCCCUUUGUGACAGCAGAUACGAAGGAGCAGCAUUUUGAGCUUUGAUUUCAUCACUUACUUUUAUAGUAGCAUUUAUAGCAUAUGUAACAUUUGUGUCUGAUAUGCAAACUGGGCCAUUGCCCUAAAUAGAUUACUUGCUAAAAUCCACUUUCUUACAGGUGCCGCCAAGAAACUUUAAACAAAUAGACAAGUCUUCAGACUCACCAUCAGAGACAAAGUCUGCUAUUAGAGGCAUGAGGAUAAGGGCUCAGCUGGAGUCUCCCUGUGUGUCAGCUGCAUAAACUGGCAAAAAUAUAUUUUUAUUUAGGUACAUCCAUUUAGCCCUGAUGUUGCCCAGCAAUUCCCUUGAUUAUAAGUUACUGCCUGCUUUAAAAGGCAAAAAGGUGGUUCUUGCUUUUUGCAAAUGGACUGGGGCCUGGUGGAGACUGAGGAGCUUUCCUAAUUACAGCCAUAGCUGCAGCUCUUGCACCUGCAAUCCAGAUGGGUGUCAAGGAAAAUGACUUCUCAUGCCAGGGCUCAUGCUCAUGUGUUGGCUUCACACGUACAAAUGCUGGUUCCCUUGACUUUUCCUGAUUUUGCUUGAUUGGAGCUAGGAAUGGCCAGCCUCUAGUAACAAAACCAGGCAAAUUAGCAUCAUUGGUUACUGUGCAAAUAUUGUCAGCUGAGCAGACAACAUGCCAAGCCACUAUGAAGUUCAUAACAGUACGUUAAAAAAAAAAAAAAAAAAAAAAAAAAACCUACAACAUAUCUCCUACAUAAGAUUUCCUAUGAUUAGCUACAGCAAAACGUAGCCUAAAACUUUGCAUCUCUUUUCUUAUGUAACAUUUUAAAAGACAGAAAGGAAUAGCUUAAAGUUUAGUCUAAUUCACUUAAACAUCCUUUUAUUCAAGAUUAAUAGAAUAUGGACUUGAACACUCAAGAAGAUCCUUUAAGUAAAUAUUGGGGAAAUAAAAAAAGGAACUAU